UCGGAGUUCAAGUCUUCCCAGGCCCACCAGCCUUCGCGCUUCGCUGCUUCGGCUAGGCAAGCCCUUCGAAACGAAGGCCGCCACGCCGUAGCCUUGGCGAAGGCGGGCUCAUCAAACGAGCAUUCGUCUUCUGGUUACGGGGCCAUAGCUCAGCUGGGAGAGCGCGUGCUUUGCAAGCAUGAGGUCGUCGGUUCGAUCCCGUCUGGCUCCACCAGAUGGUUUGAUCACCGAGAUCUUACACCGUCGUCCGCGAAACAUCACUUCGCAUCCUGCUAGUCUGGAUAGACAGCAAGAUGCGUGUUUUCUGACAUCGUAAAGAGGAGAUCGAUCCGAGUUGGGUCGUGCAGCAGAUUGUUGCGCGAAUCCUUCAUUAUCUCCGGAUCAUUUUCGGCGCUCGCUUUCAGCCGUGAGGUUGAAUGCGAGUUGUAAAAUGAUCCUUUUAGCGAAGCUUGACCGCCUCGCUAUCGGAACGAUCUUACGAAGCAAGCUGGUCUUUCUAGUCAAUGUCCGGCUGCACGUAGCAUUCAUCGAGGGUGCGCGCCGUAAGGCAAUCGUGCAGACAACAUUCUGCCGAGUGUGUGGACAUUGAUAAUGAGAGCAAUCAAGUGCCUUAAGGGUGUUCGGUGGAUGCCUUGGCGCUGAGAGGCGAUGAAGGACGUGCUACGCUGCGAUAAGCCGUGGGGAGCUGCGAAGAAGCUUUGAUCCGCGGAUUU
rnacentral:misc_RNA from 1 species